rnacentral:rRNA from 1 species
AGCGAACGCUGGCGGCAGGCCUAACACAUGCAAGUCGAACGAACCUUUCGGGGUUAGUGGCGGACGGGUGAGUAACACGUGGGAACGUGCCUUUAGGUUCGGAAUAACUCAGGGAAACUUGUGCUAAUACCGAAUGUGCCCUUCGGGGGAAAGAUUAAUCGCCUUUGGAGCGGCCCGCGUCUGAUUAGCUAGUUGGUUAAGGUAAUGGCUCACCAAGGCGACGAUCAGUAGCUGGUCUGAGAGGAUGAUCAGCCACAUUGGGACUGAGACACGGCCCAAACUCCUACGGGAGGCAGCAGUGGGGAAUCUUGCGCAAUGGGCGAAAGCCUGACGCAGCCAUGCCGCGUGAAUGAUGAAGGUCUUAGGAUUGUAAAAUUCUUUCACCGGGGACGAUAAUGACGGUACCCGGAGAAGAAGCCCCGGCUAACUUCGUG